AGUUUUUUUUUUCUUUGUUCAAUUUUUGUGUUUCUAGUAUACAUGAGGGGGAGGUUGACAUUGAAGGGCCAUAAAUGUUCAAGCUAUUCAUUGUCCCAUUUGAGUUUGGUUACAUUUAAACACAAGCAUUUAGGGAGAUUAUAGAUACUCCCAAAGCAGUAAAAAAGUGAAUUCCAAAUAAUUUUAAUGUUGUCAUGAUUAAUAUUA
rnacentral:misc_RNA from 1 species